GGUGUUACUGAAAUGUGGAGGGGGGUUCAACCUCCCAAGAAGCAGCCUUUCAGGCAGGACGGUAAAGGCCAAACACCGCCCGUGGCUCGCUGAGGAGACGCGCACACGGCCCAGGUCACCCCAGGGACUGGGGCCGAUAGAAACCCCUACGAGACAGCCCUGCCCCAUGGGAAGUGUGGGGAGAAGACAGAAAGGGGGGACGAUGACAUCAUGGGGGCCCUCACGCUCCCUGCAACAACACACCUGGAAACACUCAACAGGGGAAGUGCUGGGCCCCCCCAGGCAAAGGGGUUUUUCUCCUGGGCAUGAAAAGCUGGGAAAGCCACAAGAACCAGCCGGGCUGUUUAUUGCUUGGGGGUGCGGGGAGAACCUCAAGGAAGGCAGUCCCGGGGCUGGGGGGGUCCCAGGGUGGGGGAUCCCAGACGGGGAGCAAGGGGGUCCCGGGCAGUCCCGGGGCUGGGGGGGUCCCAGGGUGGGGGAUCCCAGACGGGGAGCAGGGGGGUCCCGGGCAGUCCCGGGGCUGGGGACUCCCAGGGUGGGGGAUCCCAGACGGGGAGCAGAGGGGUCCCGGGCAGUCCUGGAGCUGGGGGGUCCCAGGGUGGGGGAUCCCAGAUGGGGAGCAGGGGGGUCCCGGGCAGUCCUGGGGCUGGGAGCUCCCAGGGUGGGGGAUCCCAGAUGGGGAGCAGAGGGGUCCCGGGCAGUCCUGGGGCUGGGGGGGUCCCAGGGUGGGGGAUCCCAGAUGGGGAGCAGAGGGGUCCCCGGCAGUCCCGGGGCUGGGGGCUCCCAGGGUGGGGGAUCCCAGACGGGGAGCAGGGGGGUCCCGGGCAGUCCCGGGGCUGGGAGCUCCCAGGGUGGGGGAUUCCAGAUGGGGAGCAGAGGGGUCCCCGGCAGUCCCGGG